GCCGCCCGAGGACUCGGUCCUGCGAGCCGCCGGUCCCCACCCCGCCCCGUCUCCCUGUGUGUGUAGCUUUAAUUGCAGACACUCUCUGCGUAGGAUCAUCAUGCCGAGCAUAAACUGGACUUUCCCACUUGCCUGGCAGGAGUGAGACAGAUCACUGUGUGCUAAAUGAGCAUCUGAGCAGAGAAGGAAUGAAUGCUGCAUAAUUAAGUACAGUAUUUAAUUUGGCUGUUGUGAAGCAAAAGAAUAAGGUAAUAAUUUUUAUUGUACUAAUCAGUCUCAAGAUGUUCUCUGUGUUA
rnacentral:lncRNA from 1 species